rnacentral:misc_RNA from 1 species
UACGGAGGGUGUGCGCGUUAAUCGGAAUUACUGGGCGUAAAGCGCGCGUAGGCCGCGUGAUAAGCCGGUAGUGAAAGCCCCGGGCUCAACCUGGGAACGGCAUCCGGAACUUUCACGCUAGAGUGCAGGAGAGGAAGGUAGAAUUCCCGGUGUAGCGGUGAAAUGCGUAGAGAUCGGGAGGAAUACCAGUGGCGAAGGCGGACUUCUGGACUGACACUGACGCUGAGGUGCGAAAGCGUGGGUAGCAAACCGU